rnacentral:lncRNA from 1 species
CUGGGGCCUUACCUACUAGCGGAAUCGGGUGAAGAGACGCCUGCCAGUGCGGGAGGUAGGAAGCUCGAUCCCCAAAGAAAAGAGUGAGUGGGCAGGCAGCUGCGAGACAGAACCGGAGUGUGCAGGGUCCCUAGAGGCCGGUUCCUGGUCGGUGCUGCUGUCCUGGAAGCCAUGGUACAGGCAGAGCUCAGGGCGAUCCCCAGGUGAGGGCAGCGGCUCUGCCUGGGAUUCCACCGCAGUACAACCGGGUAGAUGCGGGGUGGGGAAGAAAGGAUGUUGCCUGCACUGCUCGCCAAUAGCACCCUGAGCGGCUACAUUUGCAGGAGCAGCAGCAGAAGAAGACACAGCGCCGGUCCAGGAGGCGGCUCGAGCUGUUCGUAAAGUCGCCCGACAGCUUUUUCUCCGUAGUAUGCGAGUUGACAAAACAGCCAGAGAACAGGGUUCCCCAUUACAAUCUUUUCGAGAUCUUUUCCCUUGCUAACCGGAUCUGAUUUGUGCGAAAACAUGCCUUGCACUUGUACCUGGAGGAACUGGAGACAGUGGAUUCGACCUUUAGUAGCGGUCAUCUACCUGGUGUCAAUAGUGGUUGCGGUUCCCCUAUGCGUGUGGGAAUUACAGAAACUGGAGUGGAUAGCUUUGAAAUAUCCCGGAAUUGCAAUAUAUGUGGAUACCUGCAGAGAAUGCUAUGAAGCUUAUGUAAUUUACAACUUUAUGGGAUUCCUUACCAAUUAUCUAACUAACCGGUAUCCAAAUCUGGUAUUAAUCCUUGAAGCCAAAGAUCAACAGAAACAUUUCCCUCCUUUAUGUUGCUGUCCACCAUGGGCUAUGGGAGAAGUAUUGCUGUUUAGGUGCAAACUAGGUGUAUUACAGUACACAGUUGUCAGACCUUUCACCACCAUCGUUGCUUUAAUCUGUGAGCUGCUUGGUAUAUAUGACGAAGGGAACUUUAGCUUUUCAAAUGCUUGGACUUACUUAGUUAUAAUAAACAACAUGUCACAGUUGUUUGCCAUGUAUUGUCUCCUGCUCUUUUAUAA